GACGAACGCUGGCGGCGUGCUUAACACAUGCAAGUCGAACGGUAAGGCCCUUCGGGGUACACGAGUGGCGAACGGGUGAGUAACACGUGGGUGAUCUGCCCUGCACUUCGGGAUAAGCCUGGGAAACUGGGUCUAAUACCGGAUAGGACUCCUGCCUGCAUGGGUGGGGGUGGAAUGCUUUUGCGGUGUGGGAUGGGCCCGCGGCCUAUCAGCUUGUUGGUGGGGUGAUGGCCUACCAAGGCGACGACGGGUAGCCGGCCUGAGAGGGUGACCGGCCACACUGGGACUGAGAUACGGCCCAGACUCCUACGGGAGGCAGCAGUGGGGAAUAUUGCACAAUGGGCGCAAGCCUGAUGCAGCGACGCCGCGUGAGGGAUGACGGCCUUCGGGUUGUAAACCUCUUUCAGCACAGACGAAGCGCAAGUGACGGUAUGUGCAGAAGAAGGACCGGCCAACUACGUGCCAGCAGCCGCCGCAG
rnacentral:rRNA from 1 species